AUGCUUGACCUGACCCGAGGCUUCUCACAAGGACAAUGUGGUUUUGUUAUUGGUCUUUUCCAGGAUCAAAAGAAAAAAUAUGCUGUCCAAAGUACUCCGCUACAUGCCACAGGCAAGCAGACCAUCCUGCACAGGACGGAUGCACCUCCUCCAGCCGGACGGCAGCAGGGAGCCAGGGAAACCCAGGGAGCCCCAGUUGCAAGCAGCAGCCACUCUGUCUCUUCCCAAACACAUUCAAGGAGUGCUCCUGCACAUAUUGCAAUUACAGUCACAGUAUUCACAAAGAAAUAGAUGGAAGGAGAAGUAUCUCUAGCUGAAGGAAGACUGGUGUACAAAGGAGACAUUUUUGUUUCCGGCUCUACCUUUGCCUUGAAGAACUACUUAGAAUUAAGUACUACUGCUGGCGUGUAAACACAGACAGAAACAGGAAACAUACAUCCUGAAUUAAAAGCAAAACAUUUUCCUCAUCGUAUUUUCUGAUUGCUUCCCCCGAGCAAGAAAACAUCUCUUAUUUUUAUCCCACCUGAUCCUGAAUACAGCAUUCAGCUGCAGCGCUUGAAACAGCAGCCCAAUUCUAAGGCCCCAGUUUGCCUUGUUUGACACACACAAGUGCUGCACUUUAGGGCAGCACAAAUUGGCACGGCCUUCAUGAAAAGCAGUUUUGCACUACCAUCGUUUUCUUGUUCACCCCUCUGUGUUAUCCCUUAUCUCGGGCAAGCAUGGCUGUUUACCCAGUUGCAUAUUUAACUGGACCUAUUGAAAGACUAAUCAGGUUUUAUUUCCUACACUGGUGUUAGCCUGGGUGCAUUUACUAGUGCAGUUCAUUGCUCAGCACACAACUAUUUGGGCCCCUAGGUAAGAUGCAAGGUAGGGAAGGGAGCAGAGUAGGAGGAAGGUGAGGCUGCGUCUUCCAGAAGCAAUGCUGACCCACACCUUAGGGCCAGCAGGGCUUCAGCAGCAAGGAGGAGCCAGGGUAACCUUCUGUCUCCCCUUUCCUGCCAUUGGCCUUAUCUGAACGUCGACAAAAGAAGAAAGAGGUCAAGUCUGACCUCCAUACCUAAGCACUCACAAAUACCACACGUUUAUCCCCAAACACCCAGCAAGAAAAGAUGGAAUAAAGUUCCUGAACAAGAGCUAUCA
rnacentral:lncRNA from 1 species